GAGGCGGAGGCCCACACUGGGACUGAGACACGGCCCAGACUCCUACGGAAGGCAGCAG
rnacentral:rRNA from 1 species